UACAGAGGGGCGAGCGUUGUUCGGAAUUACUGGGCGUAAAGGGCGCGUAGGCGGCCUUCUAAGUCGAACGUGAAAUCCCCGGGCUCAACCCGGGAACUGCGUCCGAUACUGGGAGGCUUGAAUCCGGGAGAGGGAUGUGGAAUUCCAGGUGUAGCGGUGAAAUGCGUGAGAUAUCUGGAGGAACACCGGUGGCGAAGGCGGCAUCCUGGACCGAGACUGACACUGAGGAGCGAAAGCCAGGGGAGCAAACGGG
rnacentral:rRNA from 1 species